rnacentral:snRNA from 1 species
AUCGCUUCUCGGCCUUUUGGCUAAGAUCAAGUGUAGUUAAUUUAAGUACAAAUUCUCAUUUCAGGGACACAUUUUUGUUGAAACUCUGUUAAUUUGGCAGUUAACAAACUGGACAGACAAUGACUUUUAUUGGAAAUUCACAGGUAUUUAACUAUAUUUU